GAUGAACGCUAGCGGCAGGCCUAACACAUGCAAGUCGAGGGGUAACAGGAAGUGCUUGCACUUCGCUGACGACCGGCGCACGGGUGAGUACCGCGUAUACAAUCUGCCUCAUACUAGGGGAUAGCCCGAAGAAAUUUGGAUUAAUACCCUAUAGUAUCUUUUUAAGGCAUCUUAUUAAGAUUAAAGGUUACGGUAUGAGAUGAGUAUGCGUUCUAUUAGCUAGUAGGUGUGGUAACGGCACACCUAGGCUACGAUAGAUAGGGGCCCUGAGAGGGGGAUCCCCCACACUGGUACUGAGACACGGACCAGACUCCUACGGGAGGCAGCAGUGAGGAAUAUUGGACAAUGGGCGAAAGCCUGAUCCAGCCAUGCCGCGUGCAGGAUGACUGCCCUAUGGGUUGUAAACUGCUUUUAUAUAGGAAGAAAAACUUUCUCGUGAGAAAGCUUGACGGUACUAUAAGAAUAAGGAUCGGCUAACUCCGUG
rnacentral:rRNA from 1 species